UACGGAGGGCGCAAACGUUUCUCGGAAUCAUUGGGCGUAAAGCGCACGUAGGCGGCCUAGUAAGUUGGAUGUGAAAGCCCUCGGCUUAACCAAGGAAGUGCAUUCAAAACUGCUGGGAUUGAGUACAGGAGAGGGUCGCGGAAUUCUCGGUGUAGAGGUGAAAUUCGUAGAUAUAGGGAGGAACACCAGUGGCGAAGGCGGCGACCUGGACUGAUACUGACGCUGAGGUGCGAAAGCGUGGGGAGCAAACAGG
rnacentral:rRNA from 1 species